GCCCCGCUCGGCGGCAGGUGCAGGAGGGCCGCUCCGCAGGCCCGCGCGCGACCCCGACUAUUGUUUAACUGGCUCUCUGCUCGGCCUCCCGCCGGUUCGAACCCUGCUCCGGGGCGGGGAGUUCCAGAACCAGAUGCGGCUGCCAGUGUGCGCGUCCGAAGGGCAACCUGCUCUCAGCUGCAAACCUGCCUCCCAGAAACGAAAUCUGCCCGCUCUGACAGCUCGGUUGAAGGUGAUUGAUGACUGUCUGGAGACCACAGUACGCAUCAUAUAAUAUCUGCUGCGUAAUUGCUUUAAUUUACAGAUGAAAAUACGAGCUCUCCGAUCGCGCUGAACCACAGCCGGCCACGUCCGAGCUGCUUGCGAAGGAAAAUCAUCGGAAAUAAUGAAUAGCCGCCCCAUGCAAAUUAUUCAGACAGUUUAAGCGUCUGUAGCCGGGAGAGAUAUAUAAAGAACACGAGUCAAAUGA